rnacentral:RNase_P_RNA from 1 species
AGGGCCUUUUACGCGGUCGCCGUCCGCCUUUGGCGGAUGGAGGAAAGUCCGGGCUUUAAAGAGCGCCGUAGCGGAUAACGUCCGCCAUCUCGAUGAAAAUCGGGAGAGGAACAGUGCCACAGAGACGAGUCUUGUCCGGGGACACACACUUAAUUCAAGAAGUGUGAAUUAAUUGUGUGUCCCCGGAUGAGGGUGAAACGAGGUAAACUCUACGGAAAGCAAGGCCAAGCAGGGACACGGGUUGCUCGCCCGUCCGAUCCGGCAACGGAGAGGACAAUCCCGGGUAGGCCGCUACUAUCUUUAUCAGUAACCGCCUUUGCCGCAAGGCUUUGAGCGAGUCAAGCGCUAGCGUUGGUAAAGAUGACGAGAUGCGAGGCAACUUUGCACCCCAGAUGAAUGAUCGCACCCCGGAAGGGGAUACAGAACCCGGCUUAUUAAAGGCCUUCCGU